UUCUGAUACCAUACACAGUAUACAAUCCAUGUACAGUAAGUACUUACUGUACAUGGAUUUUACACUGUGUAUGGUAUCAGUACUUACUGUACAUGGAUUGUAUACUGUGUAUGGUA